ACGAACGCUGGCGGCGUGCUUAACACAUGCAAGUCGAACGAUGACGACCGAGCUUGCUCGGUCUGAUUAGUGGCGAACGGGUGAGUAACACGUGAGCAACCUGCCCUUCACUCUGGGAUAACCUCGGGAAAUCGGGGCUAAUACCGGAUAUGAGCUCCUGUCGCAUGGCGGGUGUUGGAAAGUUUUUCGGUGAAGGAUGGGCUCGCGGCCUAUCAGUUUGUUGGUGAGGUAGUGGCUCACCAAGGCGAUGACGGGUAGCCGGCCUGAGAGGGCGACCGGCCACACUGGGACUGAGACACGGCCCAGACUCCUACGGGAGGCAGCAGUGGGGAAUAUUGCACAAUGGGCGAAAGCCUGAUGCAGCGACGCCGCGUGAGGGAUGACGGCCUUCGGGUUGUAAACCUCUUUCAGCAGGGAAGAAGCGAAAGUGACGGUACCUGCAGAAGAAGCGCCGGCUAACUACGU
rnacentral:rRNA from 1 species